UUGUCCAACAAGACGCAUACAAAUUAAAUCACUUGCAAAGUAGCGACUGUAUUGUUUUAAAUAUGCUGUUGAAAUUAUUAAUUAUUUGUAUUAUAUCCCAAAUAACGUUGCAGUGGAGAAUGCCAAUUAGAGCAAAUAAAAUCAAUUUUAGAACUAUCAGUUAUAGUGUCCCUAAGAGGACACUCGGAGUCACUACUAAAACCCGUUUAUAUAUCGUUCCGACAAUAACAAAUUCCAAACAAAACUCUUUGAACCAGAACAAUUCUACCGUUAUGGACGAAGAUGAAAUUCCAGAUAUCUCUGAUAAGACAGACGAAAUUCUAGACAAUAUAAUGGAUAAAACGAAUGGCACUAGCAGUGAAAAUUUUUAUGAUGACUCGCCGGUAAAUGACACUGUCUCCGAAAAUGAAAUGAAUACUGAUAUCGAGGAAAGCAAUGAAGAUGACGAUGCUUGAAUUAAGUGGAAUAUUUGCAAAUAAUAACUAAUUACUUAGUAAUAAUUUACUAGUAACUUACGCUAGCUGGGCGUUCCUCGUUUAGAAGUUGGGACCCAGAUAUUAUAUACGCAUAUCCUCAUAUGUUAUCAGAAGCUAAGAACAGAUACAAAUGGAAAGUUCAUGAAGCCAUUACCCAAAAGCGGUCUCGCAGCACACCGUAACUGAUAUAACUAACGUAGACUUAAGAGUAUGACGUUUACCAUUUGAUAUGUAAUUUUUAACAGUUUGGAAUUAAAGUGGAUUUAUUAUUAUUAUCCACACAUAUUCUACAAUGAAAUCAGCCGCAUAUGCUGGAUGAACGCGAUAGACUCAAAAACUACUAAACGGUAUUCACCAAUAUAUAAUGUGAUUCCGAAGUAAGGUUUAUGUGUAAAGUUCAAUAUACGUUUCUUGGUGGUUUGAUAAGUCAGCUAAUUUUUGAAUACAGAAUAUUUUU